rnacentral:rRNA from 1 species
UCCACGCCCUAAACGAUGAAUGCUAGUCGUCGGGACUCUUGUAGUUUCGGUGAUGCACUUAACAGAUUAAGCAUUCCGCCUGGGGAGUACGGUCGCAAGAUUAAAACUCAAAGGAAUAGACGGGGACCCGCACAAGUGGUGGAGCAUGUGGUUUAAUUCGAAGAUACGCGAAGAACCUUACCUAGCCUUGACAUUGAUUGAAUCUUUCAGAGAUGAGAGAGUGCCUUUCGGGG